GGUUUUGUGGCUCAGUGCUAGAGCUCCUGCCUAGCACGUGGGAGGCCCUGGGUUCGAUCCUCAGCACCA
rnacentral:tRNA from 1 species